GAUGAACGCUGGCGGCGUGCCUAAUACAUGCAAGUCGAGCGAAUGGAUUAAGAGCUUGCUCUUAUGAAGUUAGCGGCGGACGGGUGAGUAACACGUGGGUAACCUGCCCAUAAGACUGGGAUAACUCCGGGAAACCGGGGCUAAUACCGGAUAACAUUUUGAACCGCAUGGUUCGAAAUUGAAAGGCGGCUUAGGCUGUCACUUAUGGAUGGACCCGCGUCGCAUUAGCUAGUUGGGGAGGUAACGGCUCACCAAGGCAACGAGGCGGUAGCGCACCUGGGAGGGUGAUCGGCCACACUGGGACUGAGACACGGCCCAGACUCCUACGGGAGGCAGCAGUAGGGAAUCUUCCGCAAUGGACGAAAGUCUGACGGAGCAACGCCGCGUGAGUGAUGAAGGCUUUCGGGUCGUAAAACUCUGUUGUUAGGGAAGAACAAGUGCUAGUUGAAUAAGCUGGCACCUUGACGGUACCUAACCAGAAAGCCACGGCUAACUACGUGCCAGCAGCCGCCGUAA
rnacentral:rRNA from 1 species